CAGCCGCCGCGGGAACACGAAGGGUGCAAGCGUUACUCGGAAUUACUGGGCGUAAAGCGUGCGUAGGUGGUGGUUUAAGUCCGUUGUGAAAGCCCUAGGCUCAACCUGGGAAUUGCAGUGGAUACUGGAUCACUAGAGUGUGGUAGAGGAUAGUGGAAUUUCCGGUGUAGCAGUGAAAUGCGUAGAGAUCGGAAGGAACAUCUGUGGCGAAGGCGACUAUCUGGGCCAACACUGACACUGAGGCACGAAAGCGUGGGGAGCAAACAGGAUUAGAUACCCCAGUAGUCCCUGUCUCUUAUAC
rnacentral:rRNA from 1 species